UACCAUGUUAAACAUGCUCAGUCUCAUCUGAUUCUAAAAGCUAAGCAGGAUUGAGCUUGGUCAGUACUUGGAUGGGAGACUACCAGGAACACCUGUA
rnacentral:rRNA from 1 species